rnacentral:lncRNA from 1 species
UAGCGAGGAGUUAGUGUGGCCAAGAGAUUCAGUCUCACGAUGUUGUCCAGUCUCAAACCACCUGGGCUCAAGCCAUCCACCUAGCUCAGCCUCCUGAGUGACUGGGAUACCAGGAACCAUGCUACUGACUUCGAAGGAAUAAAGGAGAAUUCAUCCUGAAAACCGCUCUGCAUCAGCACCUCCGUCAGUGAAGAGGAUGCCUUUGGAUCACACCCAUCUUUAUCCAGAAGAUUUCUUCCAGUGUCCAAAACAGUGAAGAGGGCACAGAUGAGGCGGGAAGACAUUUUGCGAAAUAUUGUGUCACAGCCUCAGCCAGUAAUCUCAGAUGAGGAUCCAAAGAACUUCUGGACAAUCAGAGCUCAGGGACCUCAGUGGAUCAAGUUGUCUGCAAGACCAGGUUUGCCCUAAAGCCUAUGGAGCUCACUGGGAGCCCAAGGUGUAGAGUCCUGCCAUUCCCAGGUUCAGAAUGCUUGAAAUUGAACCAAGGUUUAGUUAAAACAAGAGGAACAUCAGGGUAAAGGAACCAUAAGUCUGGCAGAGCUUGAAAAAGACAAAGCUUUUAGCCUAUGUCAAAAAUAAUUAUGUAAUGUGACUCUCUAAUCUUGUAAUUAUCUCUACUAAAUAAAAUUUUCUGGAACUGGAAUUAUUUCUAAUUAUUGCUAUAUCUAGAAAUAACAGUCUGUGGCCAUGAGCUUUCUGUGCAUGCCAAAUGUGCAGUGAGGUGUCCGUGAGAGGAGAGGGAAGACAAAAGCUUAUAAAUCUCAGGUUUGUAUCUUUUAUAGAAGACCGUCUUGGCCCUUUUCAAAAUCGUGGAAUAUGAGCUAUCACCUAGAGAGACUGCCCUAGAUGGGGCAUUUUUAAUACAUCAGGGACCCAAGAAACCAGGGGAAAAAAUCUUACUUUAGGAGAGUAGGUUGCAGGUAGCCCUUGAAAUAAAGAAUUUCUACAGUCAAUUUUGGACUCUCCCCAUUUUAUUAAAAUGCACUAUACAUGUGACCUCUUCCCUGUUUAAAAAAUUCUGAGCCACAAAUAUCCCAAUAAAAAGAUAGAAAGAAGGUAAAAAUGAAGCCCUGCAUUUUGUCAGAUAGUCAUUCUGGUUUCUACAAACAACUGGAGAAGAAACAAAUUAAAAAUUACCAAUGCUUCUUAAACAUUCCCAAAAUUCUUAUUAAAAGUUUUUAUCUAGUUUUACAUCCUUACUGAUACCUCAAAUUGAGUUGAUUAUUGAUAAUGUAAUGGAACACAAACGGGGAAAUAUAGUCAUGAAUAUAGAACAUUUGUACCUAAAAAUCCAGUCUGAAACAUCAUAGUUUUAUACACUGUGUUCAUCAAAAUAGAUCACAUGUUAUAAUCUGUCAGAUUUUGGAAACUAAAGUAUUUUUGUCAAAUAGUAUUAAUCCUUCUUUCUCCUAGUUGAAAUCUUAUUUUUGAAACAAUUAACUUUACAUAACUCACAUAAUUUGUCAGUUCUUCCAUAGGCCACCAGGAGGGCAGACCCAAAAUUCAGACCUUAAUGUCAUCUAUCAUAAUCAAAAUUAGUUAUUUUCUCUAGGAAAUAAUGUAAUCAAAAAUUAAUUUGUGACUUUAUUUUUAAUUGAUACAUAAUAUCUGUACACAUUUAUGGGGUACAUGUGAUAUUUUGUUACAUGCAUAGAAUGUGUAAUGAUCAAGUUAGGUUAUUUAGGGUACCUGUCACCUCAAGUAUAUAUCAUUUUUAUGCGUUAGGAAUAUUUCGAGUCCUUUCCUCUGUUUUGAAAGGUACAAUAUAUUGUUGUUAACUAUAAUCAUCCUAUUCUGUUAUCAAACAUUAGAAACUUAUUUCUUCUAUCUAACUGCAUGUUUUUACCCACUGAUCAAACUCUAUCCAUCUUCCAAACCCCCAUAUACCCUUCCCAGCUUCUCAUAACUAUCAUUUAACCCUCAGUCUCCAUGAGAUCAACCUCUGUAGCUCCCACAGAUGAGUGAGAACAUGUGAUUAUGUGAUAUUUGUUUUUCUGUGCCGUGCUUAUUUCACUUAACAUAGUAACUCCCAGUUCUAUCCAUGUUGCUGCAAAUGACAUGCAUUUGUUAUUUUUAUGGCCAAACAGCAUUGCAUUUUGUAAAUAUAGAUAAAUAAAGAUAUUUUCUUUAUCCAUUCAUUUGUUGAUAGAUGCUUAGGUUGAUUCCGUAUUUAGACUAUUGUGAAUAGUGCUGCUAUAAACAUGGGGCACAGGUAUCUUUUUGAUACACUGAUUUCUUUUCCUUCAGAAAAAUAUCCAAUAGUGGGAUUGCUGGAUCAUAUUAUAGUUCUAUUUUGAGUUUUUCUAAUAAAUCUCCGUAUUGUUUUUUGUAGUAGCUCUACUAAUUUUUAUUCCUAUCACCAGUGUAUAAGAAUUCCUUUUCUUCAUAUCCUCACCAGCAUGUUAUUCUUUUUGCCUUUUUAAUAAUAGCCAAUUUAACUGGGGUAAGGUACCUCAUUGAAAUUUUAUUUUGCUUUUCCCUGAAUAAAUAUGUCUUUUUAAAAAAGUGAAUGAUGCUGGGAAAACUGAAUAUCCAUGAUUAGGAAUAUUGAGUAUUUUUCAUAUACCCGUUGACCAUUUCUAUGUCUUAUUUUGAAAAAUGUUUAUUCAUGUCUUUUGCCCACUUUUUAAUGGGAUUGUUUGGUUUCUUACUGUUGAGCUGUUUUGAGUUAUUUGUAUAUUCUGAAUAUUAGUCUCUGAUUAAGUGAAUACUUUGCAAAUAUUUUCUCCCAUUAAACAGAUUUUCUCUUUAUUGAUUGUUUCCUUGGCUGUGCAGAAGCUUUUUAAUUUAAGUUUCAUUUGUCUGUUUUUGUUUUUGUUACUUAUACUUUCAGGUCUUAGGCAUAAAGUAUUUCCCUAGACCAGUGUCCCGAAGUGAUUCCCCUGUAUUUUCUGUUAGUAGUUUUAUAGUUUUGGGUCUUACAGUUAAGUCUUUAACAUAUUUUGAGUUGAUUUUCGUCUAUGGUGAGAAAUAGGGGAAUAUUCUUCUGCAUAUGAUAUCCAGUUUUUCUGUCACCAUUCACUUUUUUAAAAAGACAUUUAUUCAGCAUCAUGUUCAGACAGACAAUUACAUUUAGCAAUCAACAGCAAGAGUAGAAAAAAAUCUACAUUAAACCCCUUUUGUUGGAAUGCUUUACACUUUCCACAGAACAGAAACAUUAAGGUGUUAUACAAUUAGUCACAACUACAGUUCUCAAGUUUUUUGCUAAUACACAUGAGACACGUGAGUAUUGUCUAAAACUGUGCUUGGCCAAGUUCACAAAUCUCUUGUAACCUGUAGCUUCCUUAUCACUUCUCUAGCUUUCCUCUACUGCUAAACUUUGUUUUCUGGCAGUAACUAAAAUCUUCUGCUACUGCCA